rnacentral:lncRNA from 1 species
UUGAGAUCCACAUCCGGUCAGAGGAACAAAGUUCAAUGUCAUUGUUCUCUGGUAAGUAUUGUGUAAGAUUUUCUCUUAAUCCUUGAUGAUCUGUCAGUAGCUAGAUUCCUGCCCUUGCAUCAAUAACUACUUCAUAAGACUCAUUCUUCACCUUCACUGACCUUCAACUCUACACUCUACCUCUGCCUCACCCUUGGUUCCCACUCUGCACUUCCUCCCAGGCAGUCUGCCACCUGGCUUCUCUAACUCCUGCCUUGAGCCAAAUCCCGACAGGACUUGUUACUUUCACUUGCUCUUUUUUCCUCCCAUUUUAGCAGCCAAGGAUGGGAAUUACACAGCGAAAUGCAGGCUAAUCAGCUAAAUCUAGAUUAAAUAUGCUAGUCCUUGGGGACCUUGAGCUGAAUUAAUGGAAACCGAGGUUUUUAAUGUUCCAGACUAAUUUUGGAAGCUCACUUCCAGCAGAGGCAAACUUGAGGCUGUCCAAAGGGAGCAGAUGGCAAGGCUUUCUCCAGGUGCACCAACCUUUGAAACAGCCCUCGGCAAAACCAUGAGGAAGAGAUCCUCGUGGUGAAUUCCCUCAUUUCCUUCAAGUCUGCUCAAAUGUUACUUCUCAAACAGGGAGGAGGCUCCAUGAUCUUACCUUCCCAAUUAUGAAGUAAGCAACGAUGACCUCUUAAACUCGUGAAUCUAACAGUGGUUGGGCAUAGAUAAUUGCUGUGAAAUACUUGAUGACUGAUUAGCUUUGAUAAAGAAUUCUGAGAUAAUUUUUAUGCUGUUGUUACUAAUCCCACCCUCAGCAUUCUUUCAAAAAUGAGAUUAUUUGUCUUUUUCUUCAUGGCCUUGGUGGAAAUAUAAAUUUCUUUUUAACCCUAAAAUUGUCUUGGACUUAUAACUUGAGAUAUCCUAUGAGAAACAGAUUAAUUAUGCCUGCUAAUUUUGGAACAAACUAUCAGCCUAAUAAUGUCUUUCUAGUUCCAUCUUCCAUCAUUUGAAAUUCCAGUAAAGUAAUACUUGUUGAGUACUAACAUUUAUAUGUAUUUUACGUCAAUGAUCUGAACGUA